rnacentral:rRNA from 1 species
UACGUAGGUGGCAAGCGUUGUCCGGAUUUACUGGGCGUAAAGAGCGCGCAGGCGGUCGUUCAAGUCGCGUGUGAAAGCCCCCGGCUCAACUGGGGAGGGUCACGCGAUACUGAUCGACUGGAAGGCAGGAGAGGGUAGUGGAAUUCCCGGUGUAGUGGUGAAAUGCGUAGAUAUCGGGAGGAACACCAGUGGCGAAAGCGGCUUCCUGGUCCAGCACCGACGUCAGGCACGAAAGCGUGGGGAGCAAACAGG